AUUGAACGCUGGCGGCAGGCCUAACACAUGCAAGUCGAACGAGUGGCGGACGGGUGAGUAAUGUCUGGGAAACUGCCUGAUGGAGGGGGAUAACUACUGGAACCGGUAGCUAAUACCGCAUACCAUCGGAUGUGCCCAGGUGGAAUUAGCUAGUGGGUGGGGUAAAGGCUCACCUAGGCGACGAGCCAUAGCUGGUCUGAGAGGAUGAGCGGCCACACUGGAACUGAGACACGGCCCAGACUCCUACGGGAGGCAGCAGUAGGGAAUAUUGGGCAAUGGGCGAAAGCCUGAUGGAGCCAUGCCGCGUGAGUGAAGAAGGUCUUCGGGUCGUAAAGUACUUUUGGUAGGGAGGCGGUACCCACAGAAGAAGCCCCGGCUAACUCCGUGCCAGCAGCCGCGGUAAUAC
rnacentral:rRNA from 1 species